CCCAAGAGGAGAGGGUUUAGAAAACUUCCAGACUGGUGAACGUGUGGAGAUUGGGGAGAGUGGAGCACCUGGAGAAGACGUGGAAGCUAAGUCUUUUUCCCAUAUCUUGCCCUAGGCGUCUCUUCCAUCUGGCUGUUCCUGAGUUAUAUCCUUUUAUAAUAAGCCAGUGAUCUAGAUCAUUGGGACAGUUGGAGAAACAGAUCAAGCUUCCAGGAACAAUACCUUGAGGCACACCACAGACCGGGAGGGAGUUGUUGUCUGUUACCACCACAAACUCCAGAACCACUCCACAGAUCUGUCCUGAGGAGGAAGCGGCCACCGCCACUGCCACUGACUCCAUAACCGUAUUUCACGGAUUAGAGAGGAGACUCCAUCACUACCUCUACCUCUGGUGCCAUUCAUACCAUCAAAACAUGAAUUCCCCAUGCAGACCCUAUUUUCCCGCAGGGCUGAAACCAGGUACAGGCAACAGGAUUAAAGAAGAGGGAAUCCAAAGAGGACGGCCCUUUGAUGUCAGGCAACCUGGUUACCAUCUCGGAAGGCUCUAAUCACCUGUCUGAGCUUGGCACAGAUCUCUGAUGCCUGAGGGAGAAACUGGCAAGAAUAUGAUCAGAACCAAAGCAGAUGCCUGUCCUGAGAAAAGGGAACAUAAUUUUUAGUGAUCUCGAAUGUUCAGGCAGCACUUCAGUCUCCUGCUAGUCACUGUGGGAGAUUUCCAGAUCUAGUCAGUAUCAAGAGACUCCGAGGGGAACAAUGCAGGAGAGCCGCCUCCAGCCUGGCUGUGAUAGCCCUCCCCACAUCUGGAAAAAAU
rnacentral:lncRNA from 1 species